GAAAAAAUAUGCCAUAGAUCGAAAAUAAUUUUUUAAUCGAUUUUUCUUAGGUCAGCAUCGUCAGUUUCACGUUGUACUAACCAACAAUAUUCUGCCAUCACACUUAUUUAUUAUACCCUGAACAGGGUAUAUUAAGUUUGUCACGAAGUUUGUAACACCCAGAAUUAAGCGUCGGAGACCCUAUAAAAAGCUGAUCAUUUGUCUAAACUGCCGAUGUCGGACCACUAUAACAUAUAGCUGCCAUACAAACUGAACGAUCGGAAUCAAGUUCUUGUAUGGAAAACUUUCACAUUUGACAAUAAAUUCUUCAGAUCGGCUUACUAAAUGCAUAUGAUAUAUGCAGCUGCUAUACAAACUGAACUAUCGGAAUCUAGUAUUAUUUUCUAAGGCAACAAUGUUAUCUCCGAAGAAAUUGUUCAGAUCGGUUAAGCUGCCAUACAAACUGAAUGAUCGGAAUCAAAUGCUUGCAUGGCAAACUUCCUCAUUUGACGUGGUAUCUUCACGAAAUUUGAUAUGAGAUAUUGUUCAUAGAAAUAAUGUAAAAUCGGAAGAAAUUGUUCAGAUCGGCUCAAUAUAGCAUUUGGCUGCCAUACAAAUCGAACGAUCGGAAUCAAGGGCUUGUAUGGAAAACUUUCGCAUUUGACGUGGUAUCUUCACGAAAUUUGACAUGGAUUACUGCUUAAGGUAAUAACAUACAAUCUCCGAAAAUUGUUCAGAUCGGAUUUCUAAAUCAUAUAGCUUCCAUACAAAUUGAACCCAUAGUUACUAAAAUAAAUGCACCUGUGAAGGGUAUAUUAGCAGCCGAAGUUAACGUUUCUUCUUGCUUUUUUUCUUCAAAACGUUUUUCGAUCACCUUUAAGUUUUAUUAAGGCAUCUAUUUUUAAUUCGA